GAUGAACGCUGGCGGCGUGCCUAAUACAUGCAAGUCGAACGAAACUUCUUUAUCACCGAGUGCUUGCACUCACCGAUAAAGAGUUGAGUGGCGAACGGGUGAGUAACACGUGGGCAACCUGCCCAAAAGAGGGGGAUAACACUUGGAAACAGGUGCUAAUACCGCAUAACCAUAGUUACCGCAUGGUAACUAUGUAAAAGGUGGCUAUACUACCGCUUUUGGAUGGUCCCGCGGCGCAUUAGCUAGUUGGUAGGGUAAAGGCUUACCAAGGCAAUGAUGCGUAGCCGAAUUGAGAGGUUGAUCGGCCACAUUGGGACUGAGACACGGCCCAAACUCCUACGGGAGGCAGCAGUAGGGAAUCUUCCACAAUGGGCGAAAGCCUGAUGGAGCAACGCCGCGUGGGUGAAGAAGGUCUUCGGAUCGUAAAACCCUGUUGUGAGAGAAGAAAGUGCGUGAGAGUAACUGUUCACGUUUCGACGGUAUCUAACCAGAAAGCCACUGCUAACUACGU
rnacentral:rRNA from 1 species